CUCACGCACACACACACAAAGACAGGCUACCCUCCUUGUGAUCGGAGACCUUCACAUAAAAUUAUACAAUAAUUGAAGCAAUAAAAAAGCAAAAUAACAUUGGCGGCAUACUGUAUUUAAAUAUAUAUUUAUUAUAUUUCAUAAGGAGUUAUUGUUUCGGGAGCCACGGGGUUGUUAUUAAGUCAGUAACUACGAGCAUAUUCAUUUGCAUCGCUGUGUUUCACAGCAGUAAAAAUUUACGAGUGCCUGGAAAGGUUAAAUUAUACUAUUGUGUUUAGUUUGGGAACUCACUGUAAAUAAUACUGUGCCGUUGAGUUCAGAGCUAACUGGGGCUGGCAGGGAAAAGUCAAAUCCAACACGAUUCCCCUUUCCAAAAGGGAAUCUGCCCACCGCCCAACAGAGCAGGAGGAUAACUGGGGCUCGGGGCGAGAGAUCUCAAAUCGAUAUCGAAAUUUGCAUCUUUAUCUGCACCUCCGAUCUAAGAGUCCUCGGACCCACAGCCAGGAAUCCCUCACUGUGGAAUCGGACCCACAACCAGGAAUCCCAAACCCCCACCUCCUGGCUCCUCAGUAAUCUCUUUCUCUUCUCUCUCCCUCCCCUCACCCCCUGCGCAGCCCCCGAAAUAAUUCCAGCAGCAGAAUAAGGCAAAGAACCGCAGGCACAUUUAAAUUCUGCCACAGAUACUAGCUUAACGUGCAGGAAGAGACCAAGUCAAGAGGAGGAAUGCAGAAGAGAACUUUUAUGCGGGAGAAAAACUGAGCGGACACAUCCCCCUCGAUCAAGUUGACUGCGGCGGGAUCCACGGCCACUGGGCAUUUUAUCCCUUCUGUCUCUCUCUCUCUCUCUGAAGUGUAACUACACAUUCUGUCAAGAACCGGAUAAAGCACAGCUAUGUUGGAGACUG